ensembl:lncRNA GASAL1 growth arrest associated lncRNA 1
AGGGUGCGUCACCGGAGCAGAUGCCCGGGGCGGUUGGAGGCUCCCGGGCUCCCGCUGACUCAUCAGAAAGGCCUGCCGCGCGGCCCGGGGGGCGGGGGAACGUGGGGGACCGCGGGGAGCUGCCGGGCAGGCGGCAGCCGAGGUCGUUUGAGGCGCGCAGAGCCGGAAAACCCCACGGAGACGGCUGGGCGGGGGCGGGGCGAUCGGCACUGACCAGGUCACCUGCAGCGCGGGCUGACGGCGGGCGACUGAAGGAGGGAGCAAGUCUCCCACCCCCAGCAGCCGGCGGCCGCUUCCGAAGUCUGCCCCCUUCCACUGCGGAGCGGCGCCCCGCGGGCCCCCAGCCAGCGCGCCCGAGGCGCCCCCGCCCCGUGUCGCUCGCGCUGCGUUAUUGGGAGAAGGCGGUUCCUGAGCACCAGCACGGGCCUCGGUGACACCGGAGGUCGCUGGGGUCUUCCCCUUCCCCUUAAGACUCUGGGUCUGUCUGUGGGAAGAGCUUUCAUUCCCCACCCCACUCUAUGCCGACCCUCUCCGGGGGAGGCUCCACUGGCACUGUAGACACCACGUGCUGGGUAAAAAGGCCUGGUCCCAGCGCUUCCCUGUCACUGACUGCUAACCACAAGGCGCCGUGGCACUCAGGAAAUGCGGCAGGGGGGCUGGAGAACUAUCAGGAAGGGGUGUGGGCAGAGAAGAGGCUUCCACCCUGUCUUGGAACACGGACACAGUCCAUGGCAUUCAAAAGAGGUGGGAGGCUCCUCUGUGCACGUGCCUUCCGCCCCCGGGACAGGUGGAGGAGGGGAUUUGACUGGUCCUCACCCUCUGCAUUUAUAGUCUGGGCACACCUUGGGCAGUGCCGCAGGAGGGCGCUGUGGAGUACAGGCACAUGCAGAAGGUGUGGCGAGGGCUUCCUGGUGGAGCUGGCAGUAGGGCAGGGACCUUGAAAAGGAAUGAUUUGAACAGAUCGGAAAAGACAUUCCAGACAGAAACAAAUGCCUGAAACCCAAACCGAGAAGCAGGAAAGAGCAGACUGCGUUCUCGGAAUGGCAGGGAGUCCAGUUUGACUGGAAGACCUGAGGCUCAGAGGCGCAUCACGGCCCAGAUGCAGACCACAGAGGCAGGCACAGUGGCCCAGGAGGACCGAGGACCUGGAGUCACGGGGUUCCGCCCGCUGCCCCUGGGGAACCGAGUCAUGCCAGUUCCCAGACAGAUGAAUUCCUUCCAAGAAUUCCACAGUCCUGCUCAAUCCUAGCCGCCAAGCCUCCUGGCCUUGGAUGGCUGCUGUCUAAUGCAGAUCCUCUUUCAUCCAGAUUUCAAAUAUUUUUCCUAUUCUGUCCUUUGAUCACUAACGUUUAUGUUUAUCUACAUCAGCAUCCCUCAAUCCUGACGGCACUCUGAAAUUAUCUAGGGGUGCUUUAAAAAAGAAAAAUGUUGAUGCAUGGCCCUCCUCCAGGAAAUCUGAUUUUAUUGGUCUGGGGUGGGGCCCAGGCAUCAGCAGACUUUUAAUGAGCAGUUAGAGAGGAGAACCACUGAUGGAGAUGGUCACCAGGGAGUGUCCAGGUCAGACCGCCACAGAAGAGUGCAGCCUCCUGGCCUUCAGACCCAACUGGGACAAACCCUGAGAACAGCCUUGGCAGACCUCCAGGGGCAGCUGGACUCCCUGAGGCUGGAUGUUGCAGCCUCUCCCAGGCAUCCACUCUGCAGCUGAGGCCAAAGUUUCCAACGGGAAGGGAGGGAGAGUCUCCGAGUCUGGGCCUUGCCACUCCUCACUCAGCAUCUGACCAUCCCCACCUCCUGGAUCUACAGGGUUCAUAGAGGAGGACCCAGAAGAGGGAAAGUCAGGCUGAGGAACUUGGCCUCCCUGCUGCAAGGGAAAUGACAUCGGUUACCAAGGAGGUGACCAGCUAUCCUUUUCCAAGACUGAAAAGCAGAAAUACGGCCCUGAGGCUAGAGGGUCUAAGAGAACAAUAGGAAGAAUUUCCUGACAAAGGACAAUGUUGCCUAAAGGACUCAGGAAGCUCUGUGAAAACAGGAGACUCCCGAGCAGAGCACCAGACCCUUCUCCACCAGGCAGUGUUUUUCCCAUAUGACAGGUGAGAAAACUGAGGCUGAGAGACAUGUAAUAACUUGCUGAAGCAGCAACCAGCACACCAUAUAGCUGAAAUCUGUAGAUCAGCAGUUAAAAGUGGUAGGGCAAGUCCUCUCUGACUUUCAGCGCUAAGAGCCUAGGAUUCUGUGUUUUUCUGCUUAAGCCUGGGAAUCAGAGUCCUACAAAAGCCGCGCCUAAUCCUGGGGGUGUGGGCUUUAAACCCAGAGAGAAAGCAUGUUAUUGGAAUACUCCUGCACUUUUCUCCCUUUGAAUCCCACCACGGAAAGAAAAUUCUGUGACGUGUACCCAGUAUUUAUUGGAGGGUAUUUCCUAGCAAGAAAAUGAGGGCGAUUGACCAGGCACGGUGGCUCACGCCUGUAAUCCCAGCACUUUGGGAGGUCAAGGUGAGUGGAUCACAUGAGGUCAGGAGUUCGAGACCAGCCUGACCAACAUGGAGAAACCCCGUCUCUACUAAAAAUACAAAAUUAGCCGGGCGUGGGGUGGCGCAUGCCUGUAAUUCCAGCUACUCCUGAGGCUGUGGCAGCAGAAUCGCUUGAACCCGGGAGACAGAGGUUGCAGUGAGUUGAGAUCAAGCCAUCGCACUCCAGCCUGGGCAACAGAGUGAGACUCUGUCAAAAAAGAAAGUGUGGUACAUCUAUACUAAUGGAGUACUAUUUAGCCGUC